rnacentral:rRNA from 1 species
CCUACGGGUGGCAGCAGUGAGGAAUCUUGGUCAAUGGACGAGAGUCUGAACCAGCCAAGUAGCGUGAAGGAUGACUGCCCUAUGGGUUGUAAACUUCUUUUAUAAAGAAAUAAAAUGAGGCACGUGUGCCUUUUUGUAUGUACUUUAUGAAUAAGGAUCGGCUAACUCCGUGCCAGCAGACGCGGUAAUACGGUGGAUCCGAGCGUUAUCCGGAUUUAUUGGGUUGAAAGGGAGCGUAGAUGGGUUGUUAAGUCAGUUGUGAAAGUUUGCGGCUCAACCGUAAAAUUGCAAUGGAUACUGGCAGGCUUGAGUACAGUUGAGGUAGACGGAAUUCGUGGUGUAGCGGUGAAAUGCUUAGAUAUCACGAAGAACCCCGAUUGCGAAGGCAGCUUACUAAACUGUCACUGACAUUGAUGCUCGAAAGUGUGGGUAUCAAACAGGAUUAGAUACCCGAGUAGUC